GCCAGCAGCCAUAUCCCCCUGCAACUCACAACUAACAACCCACUGAAGCUCAGCAGGUGUGAGCCUGGUCAGUACCUAAAUGGGAGACCUCCUGGGAAAAACUAAGGUUGCUGCUGGAA
rfam:Lepisosteus oculatus linkage group LG20, whole genome shotgun sequence.